GAUCCAGUGGCUUAGUGGUUAGAGCAUCUGCCUCGGAUUCGGGAGUUCACUGGUUCGAAUCCCGGCCGAAUCA